UGUGGUGGAUUCUGAUCAGAUACCGCCCUAGUUCUAACGGUAAACUAUGCCAACCAGCGAUUCGCCGAAGUUCAUUUAAGACUCGGCGAGCAGCUUCCGGGAAACCAAAGUGUUUCGGUUCCGGGGGAAGUAUGGUUGCAAAGCUGAAACUUAAAGGAAUUGACGGAAGGGCACCACCAGGAGUGGAGCCUGCGGCUUAAUUUGACUCAACACGGGAAAACUCACCCGGCCCGGACACUGGAAGGAUUGACAGAUUGACAGCUCUUUCUUGAUUCAGUGGGUAGUGGUGCAUGGCCGUUCUUAGUUGGUGGAGCGAUUUGUCUGGUUAAUUCCGAUAACGAACGAGACUCUACCCUAUUAAAUAGUGACAGUAUUGUAUUUUUUGUGCUGAUCACUUCUUAGAGGGACUGGCAAAUUGAAAGCUGCACGAAAAAGAGCAAUAACAGGUCUGUGAUGCCCUUCGAUGUCCGGGGCUGCACGCGCGCUACAAUGAAAGCGUCAACGUGAGUUACGUCCUUACCUGAAAAGGUUUGGCAAUCGAAUGAAACGUUUUCUUGAAUGGAAUAGGGAAUUGCAAUUGUUUCCCUUGAACGAGGAAUUCCCAGUAAGCGUGAGUCAUUAGCUCGCGUUGAUUACGUCCCUGCCCUUUGUACACACCGCCCGUCGCUACUACCGAUUGGAUGAUUUAGUGAGGUGUUUUGACUGGCGCCAGUAGUCGGAUAUGUAUUCGGCUUCGCGCCGGGAAAUUUCCCAAACCAAAUCAUCUAGAGGAAGUAAAAGUCGUACAAGGUUUCCGUAGGUGAACCUGCGGAAGGAUCAUUA
rnacentral:ncRNA from 1 species